rfam:Stegodyphus mimosarum contig29257, whole genome shotgun sequence.
GCCUUCGUGGUGUAACUGUUAGCACACUCGGCUCGUAUUAGAGAGGUCCAGGUUCGAGUCCCGGAGAGGGCA